rnacentral:rRNA from 1 species
CAGUAGUACUAGGAUGGGUGACCUCCUGGGAAGUCCUCGUGUUGCACCCCU